rnacentral:rRNA from 1 species
UCGAACGAUGAUGCCCAGCUUGCUGGGCGGAUUAGUGGCGAACGGGUGAGUAAUACGUGAGUAACCUGCCCUUGACUCUGGGAUAAGCCUGGGAAACUGGGUCUAAUACUGGAUACUACUUCCUGCCGCAUGGUGGGUGGUGGAAAGGGUUUUACUGGUUUUGGAUGGGCUCACGGCCUAUCAGCUUGUUGGUGGGGUAAUGGCUCACCAAGGCGACGACGGGUAGCCGGCCUGAGAGGGUGACCGGCCACACUGGGACUGAGACACGGCCCAGACUCCUACGGGAGGCAGCAGUGGGGAAUAUUGCACAAUGGGCGGAAGCCUGAUGCAGCGACGCCGCGUGAGGGAUGACGGCCUUCGGGUUGUAAACCUCUUUCAGUAGGGAAGAAGCGAGAGUGACGGUACCUGCAGAAGAAGCGCCGGCUAACUACGUGCCAGCAGCCGCGGUAAUACGUAGGGCGCAAGCGUUGUCCGGAAUUAUUGGGCGUAAAGAGCUCGUAGGCGGUUUGUCGCGUCUGCUGUGAAAGCCCGGGGCUCAACCCCGGGUCUGCAGUGGGUACGGGCAGACUAGAGUGCAGUAGGGGAGACUGGAAUUCCUGGUGUAGCGGUGAAAUGCGCAGAUAUCAGGAGGAACACCGAUGGCGAAGGCAGGUCUCUGGGCUGUUACUGACGCUGAGGAGCGAAAGCAUGGGGAGCGAACAGGAUUAGAUACCCUGGUAGUCCAUGCCGUAAACGUUGGGCACUAGGUGUGGGGGACAUUCCACGUUUUCCGCGCCGUAGCUAACGCAUUAAGUGCCCCGCCUGGGGAGUACGGCCGCAAGGCUAAAACUCAAAGGAAUUGACGGGGGCCCGCACAAGCGGCGGAGCAUGCGGAUUAAUUCGAUGCAACGCGAAGAACCUUACCAAGGCUUGACAUUCACCGGACCGCCCCAGAGAUGGGGUUUCCCUUCGGGGCUGGUGGACAGGUGGUGCAUGGUUGUCGUCAGCUCGUGUCGUGAGAUGUUGGGUUAAGUCCCGCAACGAGCGCAACCCUCGUUCUAUGUUGCCAGCACGUGAUGGUGGGGACUCAUAGGAGACUGCCGGGGUCAACUCGGAGGAAGGUGGGGAUGACGUCAAAUCAUCAUGCCCCUUAUGUCUUGGGCUUCACGCAUGCUACAAUGGCCGGUACAAAGGGUUGCGAUACUGUGAGGUGGAGCUAAUCCCAAAAAGCCGGUCUCAGUUCGGAUUGAGGUCUGCAACUCGACCUCAUGAAGUCGGAGUCGCUAGUAAUCGCAGAUCAGCAACGCUGCGGUGAAUACGUUCCCGGGCCUUGUACACACCGCCCGUCAAGUCACGAAAGUUGGUAACACCCGAAGCCGGUGGCCU